ACACUCUUCUCACCUGGGUCCUAAGUGCACAGAUACUAGCAGACAGCUCUGUGUCUUACAGCAUGGCUCUGUGUCAUCAAUUGCUUUAACCUUCCCAAGCUACACAGUGUCUGACCUGGAUAACAUUGGCCUCCUGGUGUCUUCAAGUGUGAAUGAAAACAACUUCCAGGAAAACUCCCUGCAUUGCUCUGAAGGAAUCUGACAUUUCUGUGCCAGAGGAUACAGACAGCUGGGUUCAGUGCUUUCCUCCAAUGUGGUGGCAGAGGUUUAGAUGUGAAAGUCUUCUCUAAUGUGCUUCAAAGGGAUUUGGUCCUUAGAAAGAAGUAAGUGAAAUAUUUAUUAGAGCUCUGUGGGAAUCAGAACUUUUAUCCCUUGUGAAAUUUAUAUUCUUAGAAGAGGAGGAAUUGGACUGAGUUGGGAUGUUAUGAGCAAGCCAGAACAUAUCCUCUGCUGGGAUGCCUUUUGUAAAAGACAAGCAGACUACAGAGCAUUAUUUUUCAGCAUUUUCUGUACCUGUAAUAGAGGUUUGCACAAAUGGGUCAAAUGUCUUCUAUUUGGGAUGUCACAGAGAACACCGCUGGUUCUGAGACUUGGCAAUUAACUGCAUCCCUUCCCAUUCUCCAGGUGCUGUUUCAAAUAGGAUUUAAUCUCUUGAGCGAGGAUUGUGCAUGCUGCAGCUUCAUAAACUGAAGGAAUAUUUACAUAUGUAUUUAAAUACCAGAGCUUCAUAAAUAAAGUCGGGUUUGUAGCAAAACAACCUAAAAGAACAUUUUCUAUUAAUAUAUGCACAUAUUUUCAGAGAGACAAUAUUUGUUUAACAAUUCUUAUCUCGAGAGUGCUUAUAUGAUGUAAAGUUUUUAUUCCCAUGCCUUAUUUUCCUAAUGACCUAAUUUCAUUACCUUUACAGCAGAGUCAGAAAAAAUUCUCUGCAAGCAGCAGGCCUUUCAAAGCACAGCGAGGCUUAAGGCUCAGCAAUGGAUUUGUAUAUCCCAUUAAUUUUCUUAAUUGUAAACAAAGCCUCGGUGCCUUGUGUAAUAACCACAUUUCAAAACAGCAUGUGGCUCAUUAAAGUCCUAACAUCUGAACCUGUGGAGUAAAGGUAACCAAAUAAUUAAUCUGAGUAGUGUUCCUUUGAUUAGUGAGUGUGUGCCCACUAGAAGGCACUGUCUGCUAGAGUUAUAAAAUGAGUGAAGAGCUUCAUGUAGAGAAUUCCACAUGAAUAUCUCCAGAACAGCAGACAGAUGUAAUUUUAGGAGAUGGGCAGUGUGUCUAGCCUUGGUUAUAGCUAUUUCACAGCAAAACCAUAAGGAAUCAAAAUUAUUUGCUUUUUGGAGUCACAGUGACAGAUGUGUUUAUAAUAUGAAGGAAUGAAUUUCUUGAGCCUUCUUCAGACAGAAACAGUGAGCACUCUGGGCACUUCCCCAGGGUUUGGAAUAAAGGAAGGUGAGGUCUCUGUCUCACUGAUUUCCACUGUAAUCUCAAGGCAAAUCAAUUUCCCAUGCCUCAUUCCAGCUACAGAAAGGAACCAAGUUGUUAAUUUGGAGUGCUGAGGCAGUAAGUCCAGAGGAAGUCAGAUAACAUGAAUUUGCACCUAUGUUUCUUGUCUCCCUUGACAACAAUAGAUUGCAAGAAUUGCAAGAUGUAAUCUUAAUAAUUCCUUCUGAGCUCUGCCCU
ensembl:lncRNA